GUUGAAGUAGUUUCCAGAAACCAGGGUUCAAAAAAGGACAUCAUCACUCCUGGGAUGGUGACAUGCUAAUACUGUGUCUCCUGCUCUUCCUACAGCUCGACCAUUAUCCUGCUGUGGGUUACCAUCUACCCAGCUCCUCUGAUACGCUCUUCAAUUCUCCCAAGUCGCUCUUCCUUGGAAAAGUUAUAGUGUCUCCAGUGUUCAUCCCACAGUCUCAUCAGUGACAUCAGGAAAGGCUGCAGUUACAACUCAGUGGCCGUGCAUUUGCCUAGCACAAGUGAGACCCCAGCACCACAAGUAAAUCAUAGGGCCUUAUGAGUGCCAUACUAUUGUGAUUUAUAACAUGUAUAGCUAAGUAUACAUGCUAUUGUUUUCAUCUGGACAUGAUGGCUGCCUUCCGCUAAUUCCUCAGCUGGGGUCUCAAAGCUUCCAUACCCAGUGUAGCUGCAUUUCAGGUACUGAUUUUGUACCUCUUUUUUUUUUAUGAUUUCUAACUCAUUUUAAUAAAUUUUAUGUGUGUCUAUGUGUGUAUCUCUCU
rnacentral:lncRNA from 1 species